UACGUAGGGGGCAAGCGUUGUCCGGAUUUAUUGGGCGUAAAGAGCGUGUAGGCGGCCAAGUAAGUCUGCUGUGAAAACUCGAGGCUUAACCUCGAGCUGUCGGCGAACAUAUUGGUCUAGAGUCCGGAAGAGGAGAAUGGAAUUCCCGGUGUAGCGGUGAAAUGCGCAGAUAUCGGGAAGAACACCCGUGGCGAAGGCGGUUCUCUGGGACGGUACUGACGCUGAGACGCGAAAGCGUGGGGAGCGAACAGG
rnacentral:rRNA from 1 species